rnacentral:rRNA from 1 species
UCAGUGUGUGUGUUAGUGGAAGCGUCUGGAAAGGCGCGCGAUACAGGGUGACAGCCCCGUACACAAAAAUGCACAUAUUGUGAGCUCGAUGAGUAGGGCGGGACACGUGGUAUCCUGUCUGAAUAUGGGGGGACCAUCCUCCAAGGCUAAAUACUCCUGACUGACCGAUAGUGAACCAGUACCGUGAGGGAAAGGCGAAAAGAACCCCGGCGAGGGGAGUGAAAAAGAACCUGAAACCGUGUACGUACAAGCAGUGGGAGCCUCUUAAUGGGGUGACUGCGUACCUUUUGUAUAAUGGGUCAGCGACUUAUAUUCUGUAGCAAGGUUAACCGAAUAGGGGAGCCGAAGGGAAACCGAGUCUUAACUGGGCGUUAAGUUGCAGGGUAUAGACCCGAAACCCGGUGAUCUAGCCAUGGGCAGGUUGAAGGUUGGGUAACACUAACUGGAGGACCGAACCGACUAAUGUUGAAAAAUUAGCGGAUGACUUGUGGCUGGGGGUGAAAGGCCAAUCAAACCGGGAGAUAGCUGGUUCUCCCCGAAAGCUAUUUAGGUAGCGCCUCGUGAAUUCAUCUCCGGGGGUAGAGCACUGUUUCGGCAAGGGGGUCAUCCCGACUUACCAACCCGAUGCAAACUGCGAAUACCGGAGAAUGUUAUCACGGGAGACACACGGCGGGUGCUAACGUCCGUCGUGAAGAGGGAAACAACCCAGACCGCCAGCUAAGGUCCCAAAGUCAUGGUUAAGUGGGAAACGAUGUGGGAAGGCCCAGACAGCCAGGAUGUUGGCUUAGAAGCAGCCAUCAUUUAAAGAAAGCGUAAUAGCUCACUGGUCGAGUCGGCCUGCGCGGAAGAUGUAACGGGGCUAAACCAUGCACCGAAGCUGCGGCAGCGACACUAUGUGUUGUUGGGUAGGGGAGCGUUCUGUAAGCCUGUGAAGGUGGCCUGUGAGGGUUGCUGGAGGUAUCAGAAGUGCGAAUGCUGACAUAAGUAACGAUAAAGCGGGUGAAAAGCCCGCUCGCCGGAAGACCAAGGGUUCCUGUCCAACGUUAAUCGGGGCAGGGUGAGUCGACCCCUAAGGCGAGGCCGAAAGGCGUAGUCGAUGGGAAACAGGUUAAUAUUCCUGUACUUGGUGUUACUGCGAAGGGGGGACGGAGAAGGCUAUGUUGGCCGGGCGACGGUUGUCCCGGUUUAAGCGUGUAGGCUGGUUUUCCAGGCAAAUCCGGAAAAUCAAGGCUGAGGCGUGAUGACGAGGCACUACGGUGCUGAAGCGACAAAUGCCCUGCUUCCAGGAAAAGCCUCUAAGCAUCAGGUAACAUCAAAUCGUACCCCAAACCGACACAGGUGGUCAGGUAGAGAAUACCAAGGCGCUUGAGAGAACUCGGGUGAAGGAACUAGGCAAAAUGGUGCCGUAACUUCGGGAGAAGGCACGCUGAUAUGUAGGUGAAGCGACUUGCUCGUGGAGCUGAAAUCAGUCGAAGAUACCAGCUGGCUGCAACUGUUUAUUAAAAACACAGCACUGUGCAAACACGAAAGUGGACGUAUACGGUGUGACGCCUGCCCGGUGCCGGAAGGUUAAUUGAUGGGGUUAGCGGUAACGCGAAGCUCUUGAUCGAAGCCCCGGUAAACGGCGGCCGUAACUAUAACGGUCCUAAGGUAGCGAAAUUCCUUGUCGGGUAAGUUCCGACCUGCACGAAUGGCGUAAUGAUGGCCAGGCUGUCUCCACCCGAGACUCAGUGAAAUUGAACUCGCUGUGAAGAUGCAGUGUACCCGCGGCAAGACGGAAAGACCCCGUGAACCUUUACUAUAGCUUGACACUGAACAUUGAGCCUUGAUGUGUAGGAUAGGUGGGAGGCUUUGAAGUGUGGACGCCAGUCUGCAUGGAGCCGACCUUGAAAUACCACCCUUUAAUGUUUGAUGUUCUAACGUGGGCCCCUUACCGGGGUUGCGGACAGUGUCUGGUGGGUAGUUUGACUGGGGCGGUCUCCUCCUAAAGAGUAACGGAGGAGCACGAAGGUUGGCUAAUCCUGGUCGGACAUCAGGAGGUUAGUGCAAUGGCAUAAGCCAGCUUGACUGCGAGCGUGACGGCGCGAGCAGGUGCGAAAGCAGGUCAUAGUGAUCCGGUGGUUCUGAAUGGAAGGGCCAUCGCUCAACGGAUAAAAGGUACUCCGGGGAUAACAGGCUGAUACCGCCCAAGAGUUCAUAUCGACGGCGGUGUUUGGCACCUCGAUGUCGGCUCAUCACAUCCUGGGGCUGAAGUAGGUCCCAAGGGUAUGGCUGUUCGCCAUUUAAAGUGGUACGCGAGCUGGGUUUAGAACGUCGUGAGACAGUUCGGUCCCUAUCUGCCGUGGGCGCUGGAGAACUGAGGGGGGCUGCUCCUAGUACGAGAGGACCGGAGUGGACGCAUCACUGGUGUUCGGGUUGUCAUGCCAAUGGCACUGCCCGGUAGCUAAAUGCGGAAGAGAUAAGUGCUGAAAGCAUCUAAGCACGAAACUUGCCCCGAGAUGAGUUCUCCCUGACUCCUUGAGAGUCCUGAAGGAACGUUGAAGACGACGACGUUGAUAGGCCGGGUGUGUAAGCGCAGCGAUGCGUUGAGCUAACCGGUACUAAUGAACCGUGAGGCUUAACCUU